GUAAGGAUCUAUUCCUUUUAAUCUGAUGGCAAGGAAGUGCUGCUACCCUUUCAGUUCUCCCAGAUUCGGCUUAAAAGGAUUGUUCAGAAUAAUUCUUUUCUAAUGCUGUUAUAAACUGUACUCAGCCUUACAAGAGUUCAAGAUUAUAGGCUCUGGUGUGUGAUUAGAAAUUAUAUUAAUAAGAGAAGGAAGACAGACUAGUCAAGGACCAGCCCUCUUGUUUGUAUCAGGACAGACAUGCUAUCUCUCCACCUCCCCCCUCUCCCCGAAAUGUGAGAUAUAUAUAUGUGUAUGUUGCUGCUGCUGCUGCUGCUAAGUCGCUUCAGUCGUGUCCAACUCUGUGUGGACU
rnacentral:lncRNA from 1 species